GAUGAACGCUGGCGGCGUGCUUAACACAUGCCAGUCGAACGAUGAAGCCCGGCUUGCUGGGUGGAUUAGUGGCGAACGGGUGAGUAACACGUGAGUAACCUGCCCUUAACUCUGGGAUAAGCCUGGGAAACUGGGUCUAAUACCGGAUAGGAGCGUCCACCGCAUGGUGGGUGUUGGAAAGAUUUAUCGGUUUUGGAUGGACUCGCGGCCUAUCAGCUUGUUGGUGAGGUAAUGGCUCACCAAGGCGACGACGGGUAGCCGGCCUGAGAGGGUGACCGGCCACACUGGGACUGAGACACGGCCCAGACUCCUACGGGAGGCAGCAGUGGGGAAUAUUGCACAAUGGGCGCAAGCCUGAUGCAGCGACGCCGCGUGAGGGAUGACGGCCUUCGGGUUGUAAACCUCUUUCAGUAGGGAAGAAGCGAAAGUGACGGUACCUGCAGAAGAAGCACCGGCUAACUACGUG
rnacentral:rRNA from 1 species